rnacentral:misc_RNA from 1 species
AAAAAAGAUGUACAAAGACCUCAAAAAGGAAUUUCUAUUUCUAUUCCCUCAUAUACAAUCCUUCCUGUUUGGUCUAUGUUUGCUAAUACACAAUAUUUCAACAAAAUGGAGGAGAAUUUUCACCGGGAUGGAUUGCCAAUCCUUCCAACUUAUCUCCAGCUAUGAACACUAUUGCCUUAUUAAUGAACAAAUGAUUUUUGAAUGGAAAGAAUUGCAA